CAUGUUAAUUGCCUUUACGUAACAUUUAAUGUGAAUAUAAUAGUGCACAGAAAAUGGGCAUGUGGUUCAUUCUCAUACAAUUUUUAUUAACUUUUUAUGAACUCAAAAGUUUGCUUUUUACAUGGAGAAGAUGGAUUUUAAUCGUUCGAAUGUUGGUCACGGAGGGGAGAAUGAGAGAAAUGGGUUACAAAAAGACACGAUUCCUGCAAGUGCAUUUAACUAUAACCGUAAAAUUGAUUAUUCCAAUCAAUGUAUGGAAAAGACUCAAAACCGUCCAAUAAGUUUGGAAAGCCUGUAAGUAAAA